GACGAGUCUCGCGAACGUUAUUCGGAAUUACUGGGCUUAAAGGGUGCGUAGGCGGUGGAGUAAGUCGGAUGUGAAAUACCUUAGCUUAACUAGGGAACUGCACUCGAUACUACUUUGCUAGAGUAAGACAGAGGUGAGCGGAACUGAUGGUGGAGCGGUGAAAUGCGUUGAUAUCAUCAGGAACACCCGUGGCGAAGGCGGCUCACUGGGUCUUAUCUGACGCUGAGGCACGAAAGCUAGGGAGCGAACGGG
rnacentral:rRNA from 1 species